AGAUUAAGCAAAGAAGAGCGCAGGGUGGAUGCCUUGGCACUAAGAGCCGAAGAAAGACGUGAUAAGCUGCGAAAAGCUGCGGGGAGAUGCAAAUAAUCCUUGAUCCGCAGAUGUCUGAAUGGGGAAACCCGGUACGAAGAACUCGUAUCAUCCAUACGCCAAUCCAUAACGUAUGGAGGGGAACCCGGUGAACUGAAACAUCUAAGUAGCCGGAGGAAGAGAAAGAAACAUCGAUUUUGUUAGUAGCGGCGAGCGAAAGCGAAAGAGGCCAAACCGGAGUGCGUGCACUCCGGGGUUCGGACCGCAUUUAAGAUUCAGUGAUUCUAGCAGAAAGGUUUGGGAAAGCCUGCCGGAGAGGGUGAAAGCCCCGUAAGCNNNNNNNNNNGAAAGCCCCGUAAGCGAAAGGAAAGCUGACUGAGCGGAAUCCAGAGUACAUCGAGACACGAGAAACCUUGAUGGAAUGAGCGGGGACCACCCCGUAAGCCUAAAUACUACUUAGUGACCGAUAGCGCAUAGUACUGUGAAGGAAAGGUGAAAAGGACCCCGGGAGGGGAGUGAAAGAGAACCUGAAACCCUGUGUUUACAAGCUGUGGAAGUUCUUUAAAUGAACAACCGCGUACUUUUUGUAGAACGGUCCGGCGAGUUGCGGAUACUGGCAAGGUUAAGCACUUAAGGUGCGGAGCCGAAGGGAUACCAAGUCUUAACAGGGCGUUAAGUCAGUAUACGCAGACCCGAAACCGGGUGAUCUAUCCAUGUCCAGGUUGAAGUUGUCGUAAAAGACAAUGGAGGACCGAAGCCACAUCCGUUGAAAAGGGUGGGCAUGAGGUGUGGAUAGGGGAGAAAUUCCAAUCGAACCCGGAGAUAGCUGGUUCUCCUCGAAAUAGCUUUAGGGCUAGCCUCGAUUUAGUCUUAUGGAGGUAGAGCACUGAAUUUCCGCGGGGGCGUCAAAGCUUACCAAAGAAUAUCAAACUCCGAAUGCCAUGUAGAUGAUGAUCGGGAGUCAGACUGCACGAGAUAAGUUGGGCAGUCAAAAGGGAAAGAGCCCAGACCACCGGCUAAGGUCCCAAAGUGCGUGUUAAGUGGAAAAGGAUGUGGGAAUUCGAAGACAACUAGGAUGUUGGCUCAGAAGCAGCCAUACAUUCAAAGAGUGCGUAACAGCUCACUAGUCGAGAGUUCCUGCGCCGAAAAUGUCCGGGGCUGAAACACGACACCGAAGCCGUGGACUCGCAAUGCGAGUGGUAGAGGAGCAUUCUUAAAACCGACGAAGCUGUACCGAAAGGAGCAGUGGAGGGAUAAGAAGAGAGAAUGCCGGAAUGAGUAGCGAGAGAAAGGUGGGAAUCCUUUCGGCCGAAUAUCUAAGGUUUCCAGAGUAAAGCUGAUCUGCUCUGGGUAAGUCGGGGCCUAAGCACAGGUCGCAAGACGUAAGCGAUGGAUAACAGGUUUAGAUUCCUGUACCACGCAUUAUCAGAACUGUAGGGACGCAUGUGGAAAGCACGAGCCGGGAAUGGAAAGACCGGUACAAGCGGGGUAGGUGUACGAUAGGCAAAUCCGUUGUAUAAUCCGAAGACGUGAUGUGGAGCGAAAUAAAGUAGUGAAGCGUGUGAGCCAUGUGCCGAGAAAAGCUGCUAUUGUGUAAUGCGUGCCCGUACCGUAAACCGACACAGGUGGAUGAGGAGAGAAUCCUAAGGCCGACGGAAGAAGCAUUGUUAAGGAAUUCGGCAAAAUGACCCCGUAACUUCGGGAGAAGGGGUGCCUGCGAGAGCAGGCCGCAGAGAAUAGGCUCAAGCAACUGUUUAGCAAAAACACAGGUCUAUGCGAAACCGAAAGGUGAAGUAUAUGGGCUGACGCCUGCCCGGUGCUGGAAGGUUAAGAGGAGAGGUUAGCGUAAGCGAAGCUUUGAAUUUAAGCCCCAGUAAACGGCGGCCGUAACUAUAACGGUCCUAAGGUAGCGAAAUUCCUUGUCGGGUAAGUUCCGACCCGCACGAAAGGCGUAAUGAUUUGAGCACUGUCUCGACAAUGCAUCCGGUGAAAUUGAAGUACCAGUGAAGAUGCUGGUUACCCGCGCCAGGACGGAAAGACCCCAUGGAGCUUUACUCCAGUUUGAUACUGGGAUUCGGUACUGCAUGUACAGGAUAGGUGGGAGACGAAGAAGGAUGGACGCCAGUCUGUCCGGAGUCGCUGUUGGGAUACCACCCCUGUAGUACUGGGUUUCUAACCAGUUGCCAUGAACUGGCAAUUGGACAAUGUCAGGCGGGGAGUUUGACUGGGGCGGUCGCCUCCGAAAGGGUAUCGGAGGCGCUCAAAGGUUCCCUCAGAAUGGUUGGAAACCAUUUGAAGAGUGCAAAGGCAGAAGGGAGCUUGACUGCGACACCGACGGGUGGAGCAGGUACGAAAGUAGGACUUAGUGAUCCGGUGGUAUAAAGUGGGAUUGCCAUCGCUCAACGGAUAAAAGCUACCCUGGGGAUAACAGGCUUAUCACUCCCAAGAGUUCACAUCGACGGAGUGGUUUGGCACCUCGAUGUCGGCUCAUCGCAUCCUGGGGCUGUAGCAGGUCCCAAGGGUUGGGCUGUUCGCCCAUUAAAGCGGUACGCGAGCUGGGUUCAGAACGUCGUGAGACAGUUCGGUCCCUAUCCGGCGCGGGCGGAGGAUAUUUGAGAGGAGCUGUCCUUAGUACGAGAGGACCGGGAUGGACGGACCACUGGUGUAUCUGUUGUCGACCAACGGCAUGGCAGAGUAGCCAAGUCUGGAAGGGAUAAACGCUGAAGGCAUCUAAGCGUGAAGCCCCCCUCAAGAUGAGAUAUCCCUCCUUCGGGAGUAAGACCCCUUGAAGACUACAAGGUAGAUAGGGCAGAGGUGGAAGCAUGGCAACAUGUGGAGCUGACUGUUACUAAUAGGUCGAGGGCUUAAUCUG
rnacentral:rRNA from 1 species